rnacentral:tRNA from 34 species
GCGGACGUAGCUCAGUUGGUAGAGUCCCAGAUUGUGAUUCUGGUUGUCGCGGGUUCGAGCCCCGUCGUUCGCCCCA